rnacentral:rRNA from 1 species
AGUUUGAUCAGUGGCUCGAGGACGAACGCUGGCGGCGUGCUUAACACAUGCAAGUGGAGCGACGAACCGGGGCUUGCCCCGGGCAGAGCCGCGAACGGGUGAGUAACACGUGGGUAACCUGCCUCAAUGAUUGGGACAACCCGGGGAAACUCGGGCUAAUACCAAAUGUGUUCACUCCUUCUAAGGGGGAGUGAGGAAAGGAAGCUUCGGCCUCCGCAUUGAGAUGGGCCCGCGGCCCAUUAGCUUGUUGGUGAGGUAACGGCUCACCAAGGCUUCGAUGGGUAGCUGGUCUGAGAGGACGAUCAGCCACACUGGGACUGAGACACGGCCCAGACUCCUACGGGAGGCAGCAGUGGGGAAUCUUGCACAAUGCGCGAAAGCGUGAUGCAGCAACGCCGCGUGGGGAAGACGGCCUUCGGGUUGUAAACCCCUUUCAGUUGGGACGAAGCUUCGUCGGUGAAUAGCCGGUUGGAGUGACGGUACCUUCAGAAGAAGCCCCGGCUAACUACGUG